UGCGGUAGGGGAGAUUGGAAUUCCUGGUGUAGCGGUGGAAUGCGCAGAUAUCAGGAGGAACACCGAUGGCGAAGGCAGAUCUCUGGGCCGUAACUGACGCUGAGGAGCGAAAGGGUGGGGAGCAAACAGGCUUAGAUACCCUGGUAGUCCACCCCGUAAACGUUGGGAACUAGUUGUGGGGUCCAUUCCACGGAUUCCGUGACGCAGCUAACGCAUUAAGUUCCCCGCCUGGGGAGUACGGCCGCAAGGCUAAAACUCAAAGGAAUUGACGGGGACCCGCACAAGCGGCGGAGCAUGCGGAUUAAUUCGAUGCAACGCGAAGAACCUUACCAAGGCUUGACAUAUACGAGAACGGGCCAGAAAUGGUCAACUCUUUGGACACUCGUAAACAGGUGGUGCAUGGUUGUCGUCAGCUCGUGUCGUGAGAUGUUGGGUUAAGUCCCGCAACGAGCGCAACCCUCGUUCUAUGUUGCCAGCACGUAAUGGUGGGAACUCAUGGGAUACUGCCGGGGUCAACUCGGAGGAAGGUGGGGAUGACGUCAAAUCAUCAUGCCCCUUAUGUCUUGGGCUUCACGCAUGCUACAAUGGCCGGUACAAAGGGCUGCAAUACCGCAAGGUGGAGCGAAUCCCAAAAAGCCGGUCCCAGUUCGGAUUGAGGUCUGCAACUCGACCUCAUGAAGUCGGAGUCGCUAGUAAUCGCAGAUCAGCAACGCUGCGGUGAAUACGUUCCCGGGUCUUGUACACACCGCCCGUCAAGUCAUGAAAGUCGGUAACACCUGAAGCCGGUGGCCCAACCCUUGUGGAGGGAGCCGUCGAAGGUGG
rnacentral:rRNA from 1 species